UGUUUAAAAUUGGUGAAUUCA
rnacentral:piRNA from 1 species